UACGGAGGGGGCUAGCGUUAUUCGGAAUUACUGGGCGUAAAGCGCACGUAGGCGGAUUGGAAAGUCAGAGGUGAAAUCCCAGAGCUCAACUUUGGAACUGCCUUUGAAACUCCCAGUCUUGAGGUCGAGAGAGGUGAGUGGAAUUCCGAGUGUAGAGGUGAAAUUCGUAGAUAUUCGGAAGAACACCAGUGGCGAAGGCGACUUACUGGACACAUAUUGACGCUGAGGUGCGAAAGCGUGGGGAGCAAACAGG
rnacentral:rRNA from 1 species